UGCCAGCAGCCGCGGUAAUACGAAGGUGGCGAGCGUUGUUCGGAUUUACUGGGCGUAAAGAGCACGUAGGCGGUUAGGUAAGCCUCUUGGGAAAGCUCCUGGCUUAACCGGGAAAGGUCGAGGGGAACUACCUAGCUAGAGGACGGGAGAGGAGCGUGGAAUUCCCGGUGUAGCGGUGAAAUGCGUAGAGAUCUGAAGGAACAUCAGUGGCGAAGGCGACCUCCUGGACUGAUAUUGACGCUGAGGUGCGAAAGCGUGGGGAGCAAACAGGAUUAGAUA
rnacentral:rRNA from 1 species